AAUAUUGCGCAAUGGGGGGAACCCUGACGCAGCAACGCCGCGUGAGCGAAGAAGGCCUUCGGGUCGUAAAGCUCUGUCUAGAGGGAUGAUAGUGACAGUACCUCUGGAGGAAGCCCCGGCUAACUACGUGCCAGCAGCCGCGGUAAUACGUAGGGGGCAAGCGUUGUCCGGAUUUACUGGGCGUAAAGGGCGCGUAGGCGGUAGAUUAAGUCAGAUGUGAAAGUCCAGGGCUCAACCCUGGAAUUGCAUUUGAAACUGGUUUACUUGAGUGCAGGAGAGGAGAGCGGAAUUCCUAGUGUAGCGGUGAAAUGCGUAGAUAUUAGGGAGAACACCAGUGGCGAAGGCGGCUCUCCGGACUGUAACUGACGCUGAGGCGCGAAAGCGUGGGUAGCGAACA
rnacentral:rRNA from 1 species